UUGCAUUUAUUUGAAAUUCAAAAUGGAGUUAUGCAUGCAUGCAAAGAAAUUAACUCAAAGUACUCUAGUACGUUGGCUUUUUAAAAUAGAAGUGGGUUUUUUUCUGUUUUGUUUCGCUUGUUUUCUGUUAUUUCAUGGACCCGUCAUGUGUUAAGAGGAAUAAUGGUAGAUUUUACCAUCUCUGAGAGUUGCCCUGCUGUACUUUGGAUAAACUGGGUCCUUAAGGUUUGGAAAAUUGCCUCUUUACAGGUAUUUGGAUGGAAUUCUAUCAUAAAUUUUAAUAAUUUGCUUAACACAAAGUUUUGUUCAAGUGUUGGAUUUUUUUAAUUGCUUCCUCUCAGGCCUUGGGCAUUUGGAGACAAGUUCUUUGUGAGGUUUCAGCUUAACUCCUGGUGGCAUUUCUCAGGCACUUGCAAAUGCCUUUGUCACGAAUGCACAAAGGGAAAAGUCUCAUCCUAACACGUUUCCUUCCUUUCAUUUUUAAGAAAAACCAACAUGUCCCACAGGACCCCAUUAACAUACCUGCGUAUGUUUAUUCCUGCACUGCUGUUAGCUCCAAUCUGCAAACAAGCGCUUAACGAUUGGUUCCUAUGCGUUGCCUGGCUUCCAGUGCUUCCGCCGUCUGUGCGGUGGAAAAGCCCACUCGGUUACGGGCACCGGUAAUGUUUCCUGGAAGGUUAUGCAUCUUGCGCUUUGGAUUUCAUCAAAAGGAAACAUUUUACUCGGUUAGAGUAAACAUUUUACUCGGGCAGAGUGUUUCUCAGCAGGUGUGACCCAGCGCACCAGCGGCAAUCUUCCGGUGUGAACAGUCUGGUGUGAAUGCGCGCGCACAUUUCCCAGCCCUACCCGCAGCUGGCUCACCGUAAAGCUACUGAAAGCUAACUCUGGUGCAAAACUCGGAUGAUGUGUGCGGAAAUGAGCAAAUCCCACAGGGCCCGGAGUGGGGGGGAGACAGCAAGACUGGUUUUCCUUCCAGAGAUGUUAGCUCUUCCUCUAUUGGUGGUUUCCUGGCUGAGCUCUCCGGCUCGCUCAUCUCCAAUGCCCCGCAGACCUCAGCAUCCCCUUUCCAUAUGCCAGGGCCUCCCCAUGUCUCCUCCUGAGACACCCCACUCAUCUGGAUGCUUCUCAGUCUCUUGUGGCGGGUUUCAGAGUUUACAAACAGGUUUCCUCAUGGACACAAGCAUUGUAGGAGGUGUAAAUAAAGAUCUGACAAACCACACUUUAUUAAGAGGCGACAGGAAGCCAGUCAGCGUAUAAUAAUACCUGUUUACAACAUGAAACAAAGGCGAUUAUGGUUUUAUUAAGAAACAUCUGUAAGCUCUUUCUUAAACUGGUUUAGCAAUAAGAGUUUUAUAAAGUGUUUCAGCUGGGGAUUUAUUGUAGGUGUGUUUAAUUAUAUAAAUGUUCUUUAUAGACCCCAUGGCAGUACUGAGGUUGCAAAACAGAGCUGUUCUGAUGAAGGUAAGGUCUGGCAUUGUUAUAGAGUUUUCUUCAACAUAAAAGACUUCUGUGGUACUGUUUAUUUAAGACUUCCCAGCUAAUGAGUUAUUUAGUGUUUUCUCGAGUACAACACCCAGGGACUUGAACCCUGGUACCUUUGUGAUCCGAACUUCAACUCCCACCUACUGGAUAGUGUGUCACACUUUGUUUUUUUAUUGCAGUAGACAGCCUCGAAAGACGGGUUUGUUUGCAUGGAAAGCAUUCACAUGUAUCCAUUCUGAACAGCAGUCUUGAUAUUUAUUAGGUCCUACACAUAAGACCAAACCCAGUUAAAACCGUUUCUGAAUCUCAGUUUAUUUGCUCCAUACCUCUCGCUGGAAAUUUCAGUUUUUUUCUUUGCAUUUUUAUGUAAUUCUGCCAUUGGUGUGUGUUAGAAUCAUUUGCUCCUUUUUUGGUUAAUGGAACCUUAAAAAUAUGGCUGUAAAUAAAAAUGUGCCCUGUAGUUUUGUUUGUUGCCUGAAUAGUUUCUGCGGAUUGUGUCUGCUUUUUCCUUAAGGAAUUUUUUGUGUAGAUUAUACUCUUACAAGUAGGAUAAAUUAUGAAGUUUUUGAGUUGUUUGGGUUUGUAAUAACAUUUCAACGUAGAUCUUAUUUGCCGACGCUACUUUCGAACCGCAGGACAUGCACUCGCUAUAGUGAUAUGUACGUUUUUUUCUGAUGCUAUAAUAUAUGAUAUUGUCAAGAUAUGCUUAAUAAUUUCCAUAAGACUGAGUUUUAUUUACAAAACAUAAGACCAGAUAAUUUGUAAACCAGUGUUACUAAGAUGUAUCAGUAAUUAAAAUACAACCUAGGAGCUUUGGUUUGGUGUCUGGUUGUGCUUUGUUUGAAGGGAUAGAAAGUGUCUUUUCGGUACUUUCAUUAAACUUUUGAAAUGUUUGUAUACUUCGUGUGUGAGCCAUUUUGAAGUUUAUGCAAGUUCUAAGCAAUAACCUGCAUGUUCUACCUGGACAGCACCCUUCGUCAGUCUCCUUCAGUAUUCAGAGUGACACAAAUGACUAUUGUGUAACUCCCCUCUCCCAGUGGACACCUUGGGAGUCUCCCUGUUAAAACACUACUGUAAUGUGGUGCAAAACUUUGUAUUUUGUGAAAGAAAAAUAAAGCCACACUUAUUUAGUGCAAA
rnacentral:lncRNA from 1 species